rnacentral:rRNA from 1 species
ACGGGAGGCAGCAGUGGGGAAUAUUGGACAAUGGGGGAAACCCUGAUCCAGCGACGCCGCGUGAGUGAAGAAGUAUUUCGGUACGUAAAGCUCUAUCAGCAAGGAAGAAAAUGACGGUACUUGACUAAGAAGCCCCGGCUAACUACGUGCCAGCAGCCGCGGUAAUACGUAGGGGGCAAGCGUUAUCCGGAUUUACUGGGUGUAAAGGGAGCGUAGACGGUAAGGCAAGUCUGAAGUGAAAUGCAUGGGCUCAACCCAUGAACUGCUUUGGAAACUGUCAAACUAGAGUGCAGGAGAGGUAAGUGGAAUUCCUAGUGUAGCGGUGAAAUGCGUAGAUAUUAGGAGGAACACCAGUGGCGAAGGCGGCUUACUGGACGAUAACUGACGUUGAGGCUCGAAAGCGUGGGGAGCAAACAGGAUUAGAUACCCUGGUA